rnacentral:rRNA from 1 species
GUGAGGAAUCUUCCACAAUGGGCGAAAGCCUGAUGGAGCAACGCCGCGUGAAGGAUGAAGGCCCUCGGGUCGUAAACUUCUUUUAUGAGUGAAGAAUAUGACGGUAACUCAUGAAUAAGCACCGGCUAACUACGUGCCAGCAGCCGCGGUCAUACGUAGGGUGCAAGCAUUAUCCGGAGUGACUGGGCGUAAAGAGUUGCGUAGGUGGUUAUGUAAGUGAAUAGUGAAACCUGGUGGCUCAACCAUACAGACUAUUAUUCAAACUGCAUAACUCGAGAAUGGUAGAGGUAACUGGAAUUUCUUGUGUAGGAGUGAAAUCCGUAGAUAUAAGAAGGAACACCAAUGGCGUAGGCAGGUUACUGGACCAUUUCUGACACUGAGGCACGAAAGCGUGGGGAGCGAACCGGAUUAGAAACCCUAGUAGUCC